rnacentral:rRNA from 1 species
UACGUAGGGUGCGAGCGUUGCCCGGAUUUAUUGGGCUUAAAGGGCGCGUAGGCGGAUUGUCAAGUCCGGGGUGAAAUCCCACAGCUCAACUGUGGAACUGCCUCGGAUACUGGGAGUCUCGAGGGUGGCAGGGGUAUGCGGAACUAUCGGUGGAGCGGUGAAAUGCGUUGAUAUCGAUAGGAACUCCGGUGGCGAAGGCGGCAUACUGGUCCACUUCUGACGCUGAGGCGCGAAAGCCAGGGGAGCAAACGGG